rnacentral:rRNA from 1 species
UGGCGACCGGCGCACGGGUGAGUAACACGUAUCCAACCUGCCGAUGACUCGGGGAUAGCCUUUCGAAAGAAAGAUUAAUACCCGAUGGCAUAGUUCUUCCGCAUGGUGGAACUAUUAAAGAAUUUCGGUCAUCGAUGGGGAUGCGUUCCAUUAGGUUGUUGGCGGGGUAACAGCCCACCAAGCCUUCGAUGGAUAGGGGUUCUGAGAGGAAGGUCCCCCACAUUGGAACUGAGACACGGUCCAGACUCCUACGGGAGGCAGCAUG